CUGAUCAGGUAGUGACGGUAUCCAACCAGAAAGCCACGGCUAACUACGUGCCAGCAGCCGCGGUAAUACGUAGGUGGCAAGCGUUGUCCGGAUUUAUUGGGCGUAAAGAGAGCGCAGGCGGUUUCUUAAGUCUGAUGUGAAAGCCUUCGGCUUAACCGGAGAAGAGCAUCGGAAACUGGGGGACUUGAGUGCAGAAAAGGACAGUGGAACUCCAUGUGUAGCGGUGAAAUGCGUAGAUAUAUGGAAGAACACCAGUGGCGAAGGCGGCUGUCUGGUCUGUAACUGACGCUGAGGCUCGAAAGCAUGGGUAGCGAACAGGAUUAGAUACCCUGGUAGUCCAUGCCGUAAACGAUGAGUGCUAGGUGUUGGAGGGUUUCCGCCCUUCAGUGCCGCAGCUAACGCAUUAAGCACUCCGCCUGGGGAGUACGACCGCAAGGUUG
rnacentral:rRNA from 1 species